rnacentral:rRNA from 1 species
AGGGGAGCCGUAGGGAAACCGAGUCUUAAUAGGGCGUUUAGUUGCAGGGUAUAGACCCGAAACCGAGUGAUCUAUCCAUGAGCAGGUUGAAAGUGACGUAACAGUUACCGGAGGACCGAACCCACUGUUUGAAAAGCCAGGGGAUGACUUGUGGAUAGGGGUGAAAGGCUAAUCAAACUCGGUGAUAGCUGGUUCUCCCCGAAAGCUAUUUAGGUAGCGCCUCGGACGAAUACCAUUGGGGGUAGAGCACUGUUUCGGCUAGGGGGUCAUCUCGACUUACCAAACCGAUGCAAACUCCGAAUACCAAUGAGUACUAUCCGGGAGACAGACUGCGGGUGCUAACGUCCGUAGUCAAGAGGGAAACAACCCAGACCGCCAGCUAAGGCCCCAAAAUUCCUAGUUAAGUGGGAAACGAUGUGGGAAGGCACAGACAGCUAGGAGGUUGGCUUAGAAGCAGCCACCCUUUAAAGAAAGCGUAAUAGCUCACUAGUCGAGUCGGCCUGCGCGGAAGAUGUAACGGGG